UACGGGGGGUGCGAGCGUUGUCCGGAUUUAUUGGGCGUAAAGAGCGUGUAGGCGGCCAGACAGGUCCGUUGUGAAAACUCGAGGCUCAACCUCGAGAUGUCGAUGGAAACCGUCUGGCUAGAGUCCGGAAGAGGAGUGUGGAAUUCCUGGUGUAGCGGUGAAAUGCGCAGAUAUCAGGAAGAACACCUAUGGCGAAGGCAGCACUCUGGGACGGUACUGACGCUGAGACGCGAAAGCGUGGGGAGCGAACAGG
rnacentral:rRNA from 1 species